UAUCCCCUAGCUUUUACAAGAUAUAAAAAGGUCCUAUAUUGCUGUUUCUUACGAUUAAAAUCAAACCUCUCACUCCUAUUAUGCUCCGAUUUCAUCUCGAAGUACUGAAAGUACUGAGAGCCAUCUUUUAUGGUGACAUUAUUACUACAUUGCACAGUCAAGGCGAAUAAAAACAAAUUUUACUGCCUCUUUAUUGCUUGAGUUUCGUAAUUCAUUAGAACACACCCGCUUAUAAUAUAUUUUAUACUGUGAUCCAGAUACACUUAUUCUAAAGGUUGCAUUUAUAAGAAUUGAUAUUGCAAACCAAUUUUCAUGAUGAAUAAUACGUGACGAAUGGGGAAAAUACAAUAGGAAUUUUGUAAAGUUUCCUUGAUUUUUAAUUUUGCAGUCGUGUAAAUCCCAUACUAAUUACUACAUGUAAUAGAUAUCUUUAAAUCUAAUAUACAAUGCAUUGUAAAAUAAUGGAAACAAUAUUUGUACAGAGCAACAGUAUCCAAAAAGAAUCCAGAUUCUUUGAGCAGUAUUUGCGCAUCAAAAUCUUAAGUUUUUUGUUUGCUAGACGCCUAUUUAUUUCUCAUCUCGAUAUAGAGUAGAAACUUUCUAAUUUUUACAGAGAACUUUGAAAAACGAAAUUAACUGUCAAGCUGGGUCCAAUAUUUAAUACAAUUUUGUUGCUAUGCUACAAAAAUGAACUUUCAUUAUGCUUGUAAUUAGCAUAAUAUACAUGUGCUUUUAAAAUCUGAUUUAAAAUUACAAAAAUAGUGCGGUUAAUGUCAAAGGAAAGGUCAAGGUAAAAUAUAAUGCCAUCGUUAAAUAGCUACCACUUAUAUGUAUCAGUGUAUGAUUUUUCAUAACAAGAGGCCCACAGGCUUUAUCGGUCACCUGAGUACUAGUGAAAAAGUAUCACUACUCCCAAGGGUUAUGAAAUCUAGAAAAAAAAAUCCUGUUCUGAAUAUCUAAGCUAAAUUUUAAUGUUUAGUAACAGUAUGAAACAAGAUGUGUUCUUAAAACUUCAAUGCCCUCUAAAGUACAUACACCGAUGAAAGGCUUUUAAUAAUAUGAUAGGUGUAUUAACAUUAAAACAUUAAUAGAUAUGACUAAUUUGGACCCAUCCUAGAGUCAAAACACUGGAUUGUAAAAUUCACCAUUUUUUGUACAUCCUUUUCUGCUAUUCCUAAUUAUGUAUUUAGAUUUUAUAAAGUAUCAGCAAAUUUCGAUUUUGGUCAGUUUUUUGCCCCGCCCCUAAGGCCCCAGAGGUGCAGGAAUCUUGAAAUUUACAAUUUAUGCCCCCUUUAUUCCAAAGAUGCUUCGUACCAUUUGAAAAGAACUGGAAUGAUAGUUAUCAAGAAGUUUAAAAUUUCAAUUGUUCAUACAUUUAAUAUCUGAUCAUUUUGGCCCCACACUAAUACCAAACCCUUAUCUCUGGGAUCAUCAAAUUUACAAUUUUGGUAAAGGACUAACUGCUCUUUCUAAAUAUCCAUUCAGUUUCAAUAUAGUAUCAACAACAUUAAAGAUGCCAUUUAAGUGUUUUAAACAUAAACACUAUAUUGUAAGUUUGGCCCUGCCCUGGGUUCAGAAUCCCUACCCCGGGGAUCAUGACAUUUACAAUUUGGCAGAGGCUUUCCUGCUCUAUAUCACUAUGGAUUUAGUUUUUCUUAAACAUGUGCGUUUGUGGAGAAGAUUUUUUAAAAAUUGGUCAAUUUUCGGCAGUUUUUGUCCCGCCCUUAAAGCCCCAGAGGUGUAGGAAUCCUGAAAUUGACAAUUUAUGUCCCCCUUGUCCCAAAGAUGUUUCAUACUAAAUUUGAAAAGAAUUGGAAUAGUACUUAUCAAGAAAACUUUAAAAAUUUCUAUUGUUCAUACAAUUAAUAACUGAUCAUUUUGGCCCCGCCCUGAUAGUGAUACCAAACCCUUACUCCUGGGUUCACCAAACUUACAAUUUUAGUAAAGGACUAUCUCCUUUUUUAAAAAUAUCUAAUGAGUUUCAAUAGCACUAUAGAUUGAUUGAUUGAUUGGGGUUUCACGCCGUUUUGGCAAUAUUUCAGCCAUUUUACGACGGUUAGCACUAAAAAAGAUGUUAUCUAAAUGUUUUGCACAUAAACACUAUAUAGUAAGUUUGGCCACACCCUGGGGUCAGAACCCCUACCCGUGGGGUAAUGACAUUUAAAAAUUUGGUAGAAGCUUCCUUACUCAUCAUUACUAUAUACUCACUUUCUCUGCUAAAUGCCCAGGAGUAAAGAAGUAGAUUAUUAAAGAAAUACAUCAAUUUUACAGUUUUACCCCAAAAUUAAGGCCCCUUAGGGUGAGGGGUCAUGAAAUUUACAAUUUCCGAUCUCCAUUAGCUACAGAUGCUACAUGCCAAAUUUGGUCAAGAUUGGCUUAGUAGUUUCUGGGAAGAAGUUAUUAACGGACGCCGCACAAUGCACGACGGACAAAGACCAAUAGCAAUAGGUCACUUGAGUGACUCAGGUGACCUAAAAAUAUCGUCAAUUGUUGCUUUGAAACUGAGUUAAACACCAAAUAGGGAAAAGUUAGGUCAAUGUCAAAGGAAGUGUCAAGGUCAAAAAUAUUGAAGGCCACAGCAAGAGAAUUUUUCUUCUCACGAAGAAGUUUUUUUAAAAAUAAAUUCUGCUUCAUAUGAAUAUAGAAACAGAUCAGCUAACAAAGGAGCACAAUUCGUACCCAUGGGAAUUCCAACAGAUUGUUGGAAGACCUGAUCACCAAAAACCACGAAGAUAAAGUCAAUGAGGAAAUCUAGCAUAUUUUUUAUUUCAACUUCACAGUACUUGUGCGUGGAAUCAGACUGGUGUUUAUCAAAGUAAUUUAAAGAAACUGUCUAUGAUGUCAAAAAGUAUACUCUUUAAUUCAUCAUGAGGAAUGGUCGUGUAAAGUGUUGAAAAGUCAUAGUUUUUGAUGUGAUUGAUUUGAAUUUUUUUUUUGCGAUUUCAAGUUUACUAAAAGAUCUUUAGAAUUUUUUAGAAUCCACAUUUGAUUUACAUCACUUCUGAUAUAUGUAGUUUCACAGUAAGUUUAAAGAACCAAAACAUAUUCCUCAUGUAACCUAUCUAAUUCAUUAAUCACUUCUGGUUUACUAAAUACAGAAGGAUAGAUGGUACGUACUCUUGUUUUAAUAUGUCUAAUGCGGGAUUUUAAGGUUGAUCGAUCCUCAUGUGAUGUCAUAGGUUUUUGCAAAAUCUUUAUUUAAUUAAAUUUUGCGCAUGAUUGAAAUAUAUCUUUCAGAGGAAUUUUAUUCACUGAAUAAAAUAAAAAACUUGGUGAACUUUUGAUACUGAAAAAGUUUUUAUUUUCCAUAGAUAAUCAAUUAUUUAUAAUUUUUAAAAUGUUGUCAAGGGCAAUAACUCCUAUGCUGGAAUUUCCUCUACUGCAUGUCUAUGACAAUGAUUUCCCUAAUAUUCACAAUUUUUAUAUAUCUAUCAAUUAUCAGAUUUUUUAAACGAUUGACAUUUAAAAUUUGUCAUUUCAACAAGUUUUUAUUAAUUUUCAUCAUUCUGUUUAACGAAAAUGUGUGAUUUUUUUUUAUGUUGAUGUAUACUUCUGUUUUUGUAUGUCUGACAUCUUUAAAAUGGUGGUAACAUACACAUUUUCUUUGGUUAUUGAUUAGAUUAAACUAUAUUGAGUGGAAAUUAAUAUAGUUUUUCCACUUUUAACCAUUAAUAUUGAUAAGUCACAUGACGAUCAACCCACCUUAAUAUUCCUCAUACCUACAUGUAAUUAUUAUGUAUUAAUUAUCAUCAACAUGUAAAUAUACAUGUAGUUACUGUACUGAUUUCAUUACCUUCGUUUUCCAUCAAACUCUUCAACACAACCUAUGUUGAAUUUUACAUUCAAAUUCUAAUUAAUUUUAGGUUGAAUAAUGAUUCAAUCCUAAUUCUACAAUAGGGAAUUUGUAAAAGAUCAUCAUGAAGUUGUAUUACAACGUUAGGCAUCCCGGAAAAUCCAGGUAUAUCGCUAAAUAAUGGCAUAGUUUUAAUCAAGUACGACAUGUUUGAUAUCAAAACUUGUGCGAUCUUCCUUUGAUUACCAUAACAAAGAAAUUGUAUACAUAUGAAUGACCUUCCAGAUGCCAUAAAAAAGGCAACAUCUCUUGAAAUUUUCAAAAACGUCUUAAGGUAGAGACCGAUAGCAACCACGUGAUCAGUAAAAAUCGUGUAUUUUCACGUGAAAUUAUUUUUCGGAAUUCCGUACAUCGCCAUAGAGUAGUUGAAAAACAAAAAGGGGUUCCGAAAGUACAAGUUGUUGCUGUGACUGAAUCGAUGAUUGAGAGGGUCGUCUCGACGAAAGAUAUAGAAAUUUGGCCAUAAUUUAGAUUAGGAAUACGUCAAUGUAAUAAUAGUGGACUAAAUGUUUCGUCCGUGCAGAAUGGCACUUUUUACCUCACGAAAUUCACCACUAUGCAUAGCUGCGCUACGUAAACAAAGUUGUUGAUGUAGCGUGAUCGUGAUGUCCGAGUGCUGCGAGUUUCAAUACUGUUUAUGUAGUCAUUGAGAGUUUAAACAAAGUUUCUUCUGAGAAGAGGAAUUCGAUGGAUGCAUUCAACGUGGACAACGAAAUCAUAAUUUCGUUUGCAUCAUCCUAAGGACCAGUGCAAGUUGAAAUGGGCUUCCAGCCAACAACUUCAACAGCAAUUUGCCAUGAAAAUCAGCAAGAAAGGUACUUCAUUUACAUUGAUGAUGUCAUAUCCCCUGGACCCCACAACUUUACAGGUUACAGAGAAAAUUCAAGAACUUCUGCAAAAUGUGGGACUUGGAUAGAAUCAAUAAUGUAUUUGUGAGCCCAGAGCAAUGGAUAUAUUGUGCAACAUACUAAAGUGUGAAUUUAAUGGAAAACAAGUACAUGUACUCAUGUAUUAUAUGUCUUUUUUAAAGACAAUAAUAUUGUAUAAAUAUAGAGGAAGUGUCAUUGUUGAUUAUUCUAAGUUUUUGAUAUAUCAAAAUCGGUAAACAUUUCUAAAUGAAAAUAAAAUACCAAUUUUAUAACUUUAA